rnacentral:sRNA from 1 species
UGAUGAUGUCACCUACCAUGGCUUCCCCAGCCUGCAGGCCCUGGCUGGAAACUUUUUCCGGAGCCUGUGGGGACCUUAUGCUGGCUGGGCCCAAGCGGUGAGUGUACCUAGGUUUCCUCUCCUCCAGCCCAGACCCAGUGGACCCUUCCACCACCACUGCCUCAGGUGGCCCUAAAGGUCCCCUGUCCAAACCCCAGUGGACUCUCAUUGCCUUCGGCCCUGUUCCCCAAGGACUCUUCCACCUCCCAACACUGUCACUAGUCCCACCAGCCCUGACCCCAGUGUACCCUCCUUCCCACACAGACUCCACCCUCCCACAGGUGCUGUUCAGUGCCGACCUGCGCCAAUCCCGCUGUGCUCAGGAGCCACCAGCAAAGCGCAGAAAGGGUUCCAAAAGGCCGGAAGGCUAGAUGGGGCACCCUGGACAAAGGAAUUCCCCAAGCACCUUCCC